rnacentral:rRNA from 1 species
CAGCAGCCACGGUAAUACGAAGGGGGCUAGCGUUGCUCGGAAUCACUGGGCGUAAAGGGUGCGUAGGCGGGUUUUUAAGUCAGAGGUGAAAUCCUGGAGCUCAACUCCAGAACUGCCUUUGAUACUGAAAGUCUUGAGUAUGGGAGAGGUGAGUGGAACUGCGAGUGUAGAGGUGAAAUUCGUAGAUAUUCGCAAGAACACCAGUGGCGAAGGCGGCUCACUGGCCCAUUACUGACGCUGAGGCACGAAAGCGUGGGGAGCAAACAGGAUUAGAUACCCCCGUAGUCCCUGUCUCUUAUAU